rnacentral:rRNA from 1 species
GACGAACGCUGGCGGCGUGCUUAACACAUGCAAGUCGAACGGAAAGGCCCUGCUUUUGUGGGGUGCUCGAGUGGCGAACGGGUGAGUAACACGUGAGUAACCUGCCUUUGACUUUGGGAUAACUUCAGGAAACUGGGGCUAAUACCGGAUAGGAGCUCCUGCUGCAUGGUGGGGGUUGGAAAGUUUCGGCGGUUGGGGAUGGACUCGCGGCUUAUCAGCUUGUUGGUGGGGUAGUGGCUUACCAAGGCUUUGACGGGUAGCCGGCCUGAGAGGGUGACCGGCCACAUUGGGACUGAGAUACGGCCCAGACUCCUACGGGAGGCAGCAGUGGGGAAUAUUGCACAAUGGGCGGAAGCCUGAUGCAGCAACGCCGCGUGCGGGAUGACGGCCUUCGGGUUGUAAACCGCUUUCGCCUGGGACGAAGCGUGAGUGACGGUAAUGGGUAAAGAAGCACCGGCUAACUACGUG